AGGAUGUAGCUCAGUGGUCAAGCACUUGCCUUGCAUGCAUGAGGCCUUGGGUUCAAUACCUAUUACUG
rnacentral:tRNA from 1 species